rnacentral:lncRNA from 1 species
GCUACCUGACCUAGUUCAUCCCGCAAGAACACUACCCUCCUCUUGUAAUUCGAUCUGUACCAGCUACUACUUCAGAGAGUUGUAAUAGAUCGAUCCCUCUAGUUGCUACUACAUCCUGUCCCUCAUGGUCCACCUCAACAACUGAAUGAGAAUCAGUUAGGAAAUGAGGGGGUCAGGAGCUUACUUUUGAUAGGUCGAUCCGAGAACCAUAAGCCCAGCAGUAUCAGCUAACUGCUCGAGCUCCUUGAGCGAUUCCUCUAUGCUGAAGUUAUCUCUUGCGGCCCUCUUGCACUCGACUCCAACUAGGUAGGUUUUCUCUUGAAAUAUCUGCAGCAAGCUUCCGAUUUCAGUCCUUGGACCACACCAUAGAUUCAAAUAACAAAUAGAGUUACUUUCUGGAAUGUAAGAAAACAGGGCCAUCUCCGGUGAAUUCGGUAGCUGCAUCUAAUUGUCUCAUCCUCGGUUUCUCACAAGCAUCAGCGAUUCUUAUCUGUGCGGGGGCAAUUCAUGAUCCUAGAGCAGCUAAGCAAUACGAAGCCGUCUACCUCUUUGCCGUUGAUGAGCUUGAGCCGGGCGCGCUCCGCCGCGGCAUCCUCUUCCUCCUGCUGCUGUCGUCGCCUGCUCUUCGGCUACUCAUGGGCCUCCGACGGGCCCACAAUAUCAGCCUCCCCAUCUCUUCCAUCUCGUUCACCGCCGUCUCCUAUCUCACCGACACCACUCUCAUCCUCGACCUCGGUCUCCGCUGGUGCGGGGGCUGGUGCCUCUAGCAACCGCUCGUCGAGGGCCUGGACCACCCCGCCGCGGUGGUGGCGUGGCUGGGACCAGCGGUAGGGGGCGUGACUCUGACAGCGUGGGAUCGAGGCAGCGGUGGAGGUGGAAGGGAGGGGGAGGGAGGAGGCGGUGAAGGACAAGGAGAAGCAAGCGGCUCUCAUGGCGUGACCUGACGAGACGACGCUUCUCUCUAGCUCGUUCCAACAGCCCAGUGGAUUGGGUGAGGAAGUUGCGUCCGGUGAUGACGUGGACAGUUCUCGGCCAUUGGAUUGGAGGCCGCGGGGAUGGUGUACCGUCAAGUUUGACCAAGUCUUGGAAAUGUGGCAAAAAUCAUCAUUCACUAAAGCUAGGUUGUGUUCCUCUGGUUUUCCUUGCCAUAGGUUAUGUCAAAGUUUUAGGCAAAAUUGUUUGCCAUGCUUGGUUUUCGGAUGGGGGCCGAGCGGACGAUGCUUGGUUUCGGAUGGGGGCGAGCGGAUGACCGUUGAUGGGUGAUUUUGGGUUCUCUCCGACGAGUUCGAGGACAAAGGCGAUCCCGAUGGUGAAGGUGGUUUGGUUCCUGUUCGUUCUCUCCCUCUCUUUGGGCCUACGACUACCACGUAGCGGAAUACUCAGCAAAGGAGGUUGGGGCGAUCCUACAAAUCUCGGCAUUCGAUCCGGCGCGGGAGGGGCAACGAUGAGAUGGCAUGCAAGGAUUUGAAGAGGCCGUGGUGGGCGACUUGGUGCGCAGGGUUGUGGCUCGGCGCUCUUCAAAGCCCCAGUGUGGACCUCUAUUGGUGGCCAGCCGUACGACCGUCACACUCAUCGAUUUUCUAGAUAGUUCAUGGACCAAGGUAGUGCCUUGGAAAGGAAGGAUAAAAUGCACCAUGUGGCAGCGUAUGUUAAUCUUCAAAGUGUUCGUAAUCUGAAUAGGGAUGCCUCCUUCCUUCCCCGAUUUGCAGCAUCACCAUUGUCGAAGUCGGAUGCAACUUUGGUGGAUGGACAUUGGUUGUCAAGUUCAAAUUUGCUCGCAUGUCGGACCCGGCUAGAUGAUGAUGGGCCAGAUGUGGCCCAUCAGGAUAUGCAUGCUGCCCAUGACUUUGUGACAGGAAUCAUGUGUGGGACGGUAUUGAUCAUUUUCUUCCCUACUGCACCAUGUGAUUUACGUU